rnacentral:ncRNA from 1 species
CAACGCAAUUCUGCGUUUUAUGCGGUUUAACCCGCCGCGUAGCGACUAGAACUCGCAUCGGACUUCUUUAAGGAGAAACAAAAUG